GGAUGAACGCUGGCGGCGUGCUUAACACAUGCAAGUCGAACGGAAAGGCCACAGCUUGCUGUGGUACUCGAGUGGCGAACGGGUGAGUAACACGUGGGUGAUCUGCCCUGUACUUCGGGAUAAGCUUGGGAAACUGGGUCUAAUACCGGAUAGGAAUCACAUGUGGGUGUGUGGUUGGAAAGCUUUUGCGGUAUGGGAUGAGCUCGCGGCCUAUCAGCUUGUUGGUGGGGUAAUGGCCUACCAAGGCGUCGACGGGUAGCCGGCCUGAGAGGGUGUACGGCCACAUUGGGACUGAGAUACGGCCCAGACUCCUACGGGAGGCAGCAGUGGGGAAUAUUGCACAAUGGGCGCAAGCCUGAUGCAGCGACGCCGCGUGGGGGAUGACGGCCUUCGGGUUGAAAACUCCUUUCGUCAGGGACGAAGCGAAAGUGACGGUACCUGGACAAGAAGCACCGGCUAACUACGUG
rnacentral:rRNA from 1 species